AGCGUAGCUUGGGACAUGGAAGAGGGAUUUCCCGCCCGCGAAAGUCCGUGUCUCCUCAAAAUGGCCAGAUAUUGUUCUCCAAGGUUAAGUGGUUCAUAUGCAUGCUGUGGGUAAUGACAUUGAUAAUAUUGUACCCGAAUGAUGCAGCAGAAUGAACACAUUUUCCUGUAAAGGUCCAUCAUAUAGAAAUAAAAAGCUUCUGGAGGAAGAAAUGGUAGAUUGAAGAUUGGUAUCACAAAAGAACAGCUCUUCAAACAUUAAGUGAACAUGUGGAAAUAGAAUCACAUCUACUAUUUCCUUUCCAUUUUCAAUUGACGAUAAACAUAGAGUUGCACAGGAUAGGAUCGGUUAAAACAACUGUGAUCUGCAAAAGCAGGACUUGUAUUCAUUUUCAGUGACGUAAUUCCUAUAUGUCAUACUAAGCAUUUGGGGAAGGAUCUAUUUCUGUGCUUAAAUUUUUGUUACUGUGCAUUUCAUGAAGUAUAUUUUUUCAUUAAGAGAAAUACCUAAACAGAAAUAGUUAUAUAUUUUAAAAUGUUCCCAUAUUAAUUUCUGAGCAGCAGCAUAAAUGUGAAGGAAAGAGUUUGUUUAGUGAUUGUCUUUAAUUUUAACAAGUGACUGUUUUUCUAAUGAUUAACAACUAAGCCCAAUGAAAACUAAUUUGAAGGCAAUUGUGGAAUAUAUGUCUCCAUAUGUGUAUGUGUAUGCAUGCACUCACGCGCACAUGCUCACACACACAAACACACACACACACUUAUAUUUGCAUUUGAAAAAUCUUGAUAUAGCCUUACUGAACCAAUUGCAUCACUUCAGGGAUGAAUGGCUUUCCCAUUCUGGAUAGGGACCUUCAGUGUCAUGCAUGGAUUCUAUUCUUAUUUAUUUUAUUUUAUUUAUUUUAAUUUUUAUUCCUGCUUUUUUCUGUAUCUGUAGUUGAUUUUUUAAAACAUCAGAAAUAUUGAGAUUUUAUUUCAGCAUUUUUAAGCAAUGUUAAUAAUGAUUUAGAUAAAUAAAAAGU